rnacentral:tRNA from 1 species
GCGAGGGUAGCCAAGCACGGAAACGGCGCAGGACUUAGGAUCCUGUCCUUAGCGGUACAAGGGUUCAAAUCCCUUCCCUCGCACCA